GACGAACGCUGGCGGCGUGCUUAACACAUGCAAGUCGAACGGACAGGCCAGGCGUUUGUGGGGCUCUCGAGUGGGGAACACGUGAGUAACACGUGAGUACCCUGCACUUGACAUUGGGAUAAAUUCAGGAAACUGCGGAUCUUACAGCAUAUGAGCUCCUGCUGCGUGUUGGGGGAUGGAGAGUUUCGGCGGUUGGGGAUGGAAUGGCGGCUUACAAGCUUGUUGGUGGGGUAGGUGCAUACCAAGCUUUUGAAGGGUAGCCGGCCUGAGAGGGUGUACGGGCACAUUGGGACUGAGAUACGGACCAGACUCCUAUGGUAGGCAGCAGGCGGGAAUCUUGCACAAUGGGCGGAAGCCAGAUGCAGCAGCGUCGCGUGCGGGAUGACGGGCUUCGGGUGGUAAACCGCUUUCGCCUGGGACGAAGCGUGAGUGACGGUAAUGGGUAAAGAAGCACCGGCUAACUACGUG
rnacentral:rRNA from 1 species